UUAUCUUUUUCUUAUCUGGGAAGCUCUUUAUUUCUCCUUCAGUUUCAAAUAAUAGCCUUGCUGAGUAGUCUAUUCUUAGCUAUAGGUCUUUGCUUUUCAUCUCUUCGACUAUUUUGUGCCUAUCCCUUCUGGCCUGAAAUGUUUCUAUUGAGAAAUCAACUGACAGUCUUAUGGGAGCUUCCUUGUAGGU